rnacentral:RNase_P_RNA from 3 species
UAGGGCAAGCAGGCAAUUGCCCUUCUCAAAAAAAUGAGAGGGGAGGAAAGUCCGGACACCUGCUCGUAAUGCUAUGCAUACGAGUUAAAAAGGGCAGUGGGUAACGCCCACCCGGAGCAGCCCCAUUAAAUAGUAAUAUUUCACGGGGUGAAUCCGAGGGAAAGUGCCACAGAGACAAUACUAGUCAAUGAGUAUCCGCCCAAGGCGGAUGCUCAAAUUUCCAACUGCGCUACGCGCAGGGAAAUUUGGCAAAAGGUGAAAAGUUGUGCGAUGUGCAUGCUGGUUGUGGGGAUAUCCCAAUGAGUAUGUGCUACGCGCAAUUCUCCCGAGCGAUCGGGAUGAACGGUAAACCCUGCCUGGUGCAAGGGCAAAUUUUUCCGUCAAAAUAACGGAAAAGGAACGUAGCCCGCAUGACCCCGACAGUAAUGCCGGGGCUAGAUAAAUAAUUGCCACCCUCAUCUUUAAAAAUAAGGGCACAGAAUCCGGCUUAUCGCUUGCCCUGAUAU